UACGAAGGGGGCUAGCGUUGCUCGGAAUCACUGGGCGUAAAGGGUGCGUAGGCGGGUCUUUAAGUCAGGGGUGAAAUCCUGGAGCUCAACUCCAGAACUGCCUUUGAUACUGAGGAUCUUGAGUUCGGGAGAGGUGAGUGGAACUGCGAGUGUAGAGGUGAAAUUCGUAGAUAUUCGGAAGAACACCAGUGGCGAAGGCGGCUCACUGGACCGGUAUUGACGCUGAGGUGCGAAAGCGUGGGGAGCAAACAGGAU
rnacentral:rRNA from 1 species